UUUAAUAUGGCAGAUUAGUGCCAUGGAUUUAAACUCCAUUAAUAAAGAUUUUUCUUUUAUUAAAA
rnacentral:tRNA from 1 species